AUGGGAGUGAGAAUGUUGGCAUGAGUAGCGAGAUGUGGGUGAGAAUCCCACAGGCCGUAAACCCAAGGUUUCCAGGGGAAGGUUCGUCCGCCCUGGGUUAGUCGGGACCUAAGCUGAGGCCGAAAGGCGUAGGUGAUGGACAACAGGUUGAUAUUCCUGUACUACCGAUAACCGUUUGAGAGAUGGGAUGACACAGUAGGAUAAGCUAAGCACACUGUUGGUUAUGUGUGCCCAAGCAUUGAGGCAGUCAAAGUAGGUAAAUCCGCUUUGAUAAUGCUGGGAUGUGAUGGGGAGCGAAAUUUAGUAGCGAAGUAGCUGAUUUCACACUGUCAAGAAAAGUCUCUAUCGAGGUUAAAGGUACCCGUACCGCAAACCGACACAGGUGGGUGAGGAGAGUAUCCUAAGGCCAGCGAGAGAACUGUUGUUAAGGAACUCGGCAAAAUGACCCCGUAACUUAGGGAUAAGGGGUGCCACCAUCAGG
rnacentral:rRNA from 1 species